GAUGAACGCUGGCGGCGUGCCUAAUACAUGCAAGUCGAGCGAACAGAUGAGGAGCUUGCUCCUCUGACGUUAGCGGCGGACGGGUGAGUAACACGUGGAUAACCUACCUAUAAGACUGGGAUAACUUCGGGAAACCGGAGCUAAUACCGGAUAAUAUAUUGAACCGCAUGGUUCAAUAGUGAAAGACGGUUUUGCUGUCACUUAUAGAUGGAUCCGCGCCGCAUUAGCUAGUUGGUAAGGUAACGGCUUACCAAGGCAACGAUGCGUAGCCGACCUGAGGGGGUGAUCGGCCACACUGGAACUGAGACACGGUCCAGACUCCUACGGGAGGCAGCAGUAGGGAAUCUUCCGCAAUGGGCGAAAGCCUGACGGAGCAACGCCGCGUGAGUGAUGAAGGUCUUCGGAUCGUAAAACUCUGUUAUUAGGGAAGAACAAAUGUGUAAGUAACUAUGCACGUCUUGACGGUACCUAAUCAGAAAGCCACGGCUAACUACGUG
rnacentral:rRNA from 1 species